rnacentral:rRNA from 1 species
CACGUAGGGUGCGAGCGUUGUCCGGAAUUAUUGGGCGUAAAGAGCUCGUAGGCGGUGUGUCGCGUCGGCCGUGAAAACCUGUGGCUUAACCAUGGGCUUGCGGUCGAUACGGGCAUCACUGGAGUUCGGCAGGGGAGACUGGAAUUCCUGGUGUAGCGGUGAAAUGCGCAGAUAUCAGGAGGGAACACCGGUGGCGAAGGCGGGUCUCUGG